rnacentral:rRNA from 1 species
AGGUAGUUGGUGAGGUAACGGCCCACCAAGCCGACGAUCGGUAGCCGACCUGAGAGGGUGAUCGGCCACAUUGGGACUGAGACACGGCCCAAACUCCUACGGGAGGCAGCAGUGGGAAUAUUGGGCAAUGGAGGAAACUCUGACCCAGCAACGCCGCGUGGAGGAAGAAGGUUUUCGGAUCGUAAACUCCUGUCCUUGGAGACGAGUAGAAGACGGUAUCCAAGGAGGAAGCCCCGGCUAACUACGUGCCAGCAGCCGCGGUAAUACGUAGGGGGCAAGCGUUGUCCGGAAUAAUUGGGCGUAAAGGGCGCGUAGGCGGCUCGGUAAGUCUGGAGUGAAAGUCCUGCUUUUAAGGUGGGAAUUGCUUUGGAUACUGUCGGGCUUGAGUGCAGGAGAGGUUAGUGGAAUUCCCAGUGUAGCGGUGAAAUGCGUAGAGAUUGGGAGGAACACCAGUGGCGUAGGCGACUAACUGGACUGUAACUGACGCUGAGGCGCGAAAGUGUGGGGAGCAAACAGGAUUAGAUACCCUGGUAGUCCACACUGUAAACGAUGAAUGCUAGGUGUAGGGGGUAUCGACCCCUUCUGUGCCGCAGUCAACACAAUAAGCAUUCCGCCUGGGGAGUACGGCCGCAAGGUUGAAACUCAAAGGAAUUGACGGGGGCCCGCACAAGCAGCGGAGCAUGUGGUUUAAUUCGACGCAACGCGAAGAACCUUACCAGGUCUUGACAUCCACUUAAACUUACAGAGAUGUAAGGUGUGCUUGCACAAAGUGAGACAGGUGGUGCAUGGUUGUCGUCAGCUCGUGUCGUGAGAUGUUGGGUUAAGUCCCGCAACGAGCGCAACCCUUAUCUUCAGUUACUAACGCGUAAAGGUGAGGACUCUGAAGAGACUGCCGGGGACAACUCGGAGGAAGGUGGGGACGACGUCAAAUCAUCAUGCCCCUUAUGACCUGGGCUACACACGUGCUACAAUGGCCACGACAGAGAGAAGCGAAAUCGCAAGGUAGAGCGGAACUCAAAAAAGUGGUCCCAGUUCGGAUUGUGGGCUGCAACCCGCCCACAUGAAGUCGGAGUUGCUAGUAAUCGCGGAUCAGCAUGCCGCGGUGAAUACGUUCCCGGGCCUUGUACACACCGCCCGUCACACCAUGGGAGUUGGGAGUGCCCAAAGCCGGUGAGGCAACCGCAAGGAGCCAGCCGUCUAAGGCAAGACCAAUGACUGGGGUGAAGUCGUAACAAGGUAGCCGUAUCGGAAGGUGCGGCUG